GCCUCCUUCCCAAUCCCCAUCCUCGCUGCCCUCCGCCCCCUCCUUCCCUCCUGCCGGUCCACUCCCGCGCCGUCCGCCGCCACCGCCGGCGUCGUCCUGCUCCUCAGCGCAGCCACGGCGGGGCUGCCGUAGGCCACCGCUGCCCAGUACAGCAGCCCCGCGCGGGGGACGGCAUUGCGAUUGCAGAGGUGGCGGCGAACGCCGCUGCCGCACCAGGCCGGCGUCCACGCUCGCCUUCGUCGCGCCCUCACUCCCCUCACCCAACUCGACGAGGGUCGUGCAGGGCCUGCUCCUCCCCAACUCUGCCUCGCCUCCUCCUCCUCCGACGCGCUCGCGGGCACCGGCAUCGCCGUUACUAUCGAGGUCCCUAACGUGCUGCUCUAGCCCCUCGCCUUCUCAACCAAGGCCGCCGCCGUCUGAUUCUGCCGCCACGCCAAUUCCGUCCGCUGCCAAGCCUGGCCGCCUCCGGGAGCCCCAAGUCCUCCGCCCCGUGGUUUGUGUAAAGAUUUCAGGUUGGCCAAUAGCGUGGAUGUGGAUGGUGCGACAGAGGGGACGAUAGCAGGUUGGCCAUGCGGCGAGCCGCCGGACAUCAGCAUGCCACACGACACCGAAGAGCUCCAUCAGCCUUGAGAGUCCACGGCCAUUUGUAGGUAGCGCUGAUGGAGCACUGCAAAAUUCCUUCCAUGUCGGGAGACAAGUGCCGUCAUUACCGAUUGUCCAAUCUGAUAGGUGAAUUCAGAAACAAUUUAUGAAUCUGCCUUAUCCAAGUGAAGAAACACUAGCUAGACACUCCAUAUUAGGACCUAAUGGUCUUCAUGGCCGAUGGAAUGGGCGUGUUACUAGAAUUAAUUAAGGUUCACCAUCAAGCAGUGAUGGUGAGGGCAAGUCUAGGAAGCGACGGUGUUCUCCCACAGGUACCUAGGGAUGCCUUUUGUCCCCCUCUCGUGGUUGAGCCCAUUUGUUUGCUAUAGAAUUUUGAUCUUAUUUUCUUUGGUUCACAUGGUAAUAUCAGUUGCUCAUUUAGGAGCAGUCCUGCUUUCUUACUCUUCUGUGAGGGUUUACACUAUGAUAUUACCAUAAGAUCUAUAUAUUGAAAUAGAUGAGGUGUACUCACCGUGAAAGUCUGUCAGUCUGAUACUUUAAUCAUAAUGGCUUUCAUGAAGAGGUUGCUUCAAAUAACGAGCAGGAGUGCCAAUCUGAGACUCAGGUUGUUGGUAAGUCAGCAUCAUGCUGUGAUAGCUGCGGUAAGCCUACCAUCCAAGGGUUCUAAGAAAAAGAAGCAAGGGGGUGAGCAACUACUUUGUAAACACUGUGAAAAGCUUAUUGCAGUCGAAACAAUACUAUGGCAUAUGUAAGAAAAUUUGGCACUACACAGAUGGUGUAAACUGGGUAAGGGCUUAGAAGAAUACAAGUUUUGGUUGCACAUGAUCUCUUGAAUUUUCUUUGUCCUGACCUGCAAGCUGCAAGGCAACUUCUUGCCAGGUCUGUUGUGAUGAGUGCCAGAUUUGGGUUCAUAUUGAAUGUGACCUGACAUGCAACAACUUGGAGGUUAUUUCGCCACCUUGUUCUUAUGCUGAUACUAAUGUCCUUACUGCUUGAUAUGCAAUUAUUCUACGAAUAUCCUUCACUGACUCUUCGUUAUGUCACAGGAUUUAGAAAAUACUGAUUAUUUCUGUACGGACUGCAAAUCAAAAUACAAACCAGUGGUAGAUCGACUUCCAGUCUGUUAUUUUUAUAAAAAUAUAUACAUACAGUUAAUUGCCACAUUGGUACAGAAUAACAAGUCAUUUAUUGCAAACAUUUUGAGUAUUUUACGAUGUGAUGUAUUUCAAGUAUACGAAUUAAACUAAAAUAUGGAGAUUUUGGAGGCAGCGGGUGGAGGUGAGGAUGUUGAAAGCAUGCUGACAAUAGGAGUGGCACGUAGGGGACUUCUUAGAGGGCUGAGAGGAAGAUGAUGAAGUUGCAACGAUUUGUAGUUUUAUUAUAUUGUAUUAACACCCAAUGUGUCAAUAAUUUAUUUGAGUACUUUAGAAUUAAAUGGAGAAUAAAUAUUGUUCAAGGCAAAGUAUGGCUUUAUUGCUAUAUGUCCUUACAAAUAUUUAGUACAAUGAAAAUUGAUGUCCAUACGAUACUA